CCUUCUUUCUCUGGGGCUUCCAGCUGGGAUGCCUUUCUUACUGAACUUUGAGGAAGCCACAGGGUCUGGGCAUAUCUUAGAGAAAUGAGGAGGGACACCCUGGUUCAUAUGAGCCAAGUGGAACCCCGAGCCCUGAACUCUCAGAGAAGCCUGGUCAGCCAAGAUGUCCCCACCCCUGAACCACCGAAAGAGUCACUGUUGGACCACGGACUUGACACUUGCCUUGGUGGCCAGAUGACUGCUACCUGAAGAUCAGGGAGCAUUCUCCCUUAUUUGUGAUGCCACUCUAUGUUCCCUUCGACAUAAAGGAAGACACUCAUUAUUGAUAUUAUAUAGACAGCUCAAAUCCUGCCUCUGUGGCUUUGGGGUCUCACUACAUGGCUCUGGCUGUCCUGGAAUUCACUAUGUAGACCAGACUGACCUCGAAACUCACAGAGAUUCAUCUCCCUCUGUUUCAGGAGUGCUGGAAUUAAAGGAGUUUGCCAGCAGGCCCAGCUGUAGAGGUAUUUCAGAAUACAUGGCAGGCUUUUACUCUCAAGCCUUUCCUCCCGAGCUCAACUCUUAGUUUCAAGAGCUCAGCAGCAGGUUGUGACCGAUCGCUGGUCUGUCCAUUCCUGGCUUUCACACCAACCUAUCAACUAGAAUGUGCUGAAGAUCUCCUAUGUCCCAGGAGUCGCACCCUAACUGGUGGUAUUUCAGACAUGCUGUCACAAUGACGGCUGCUUGGACUGGUCUCCUGCCACGCGCUGCACUGGCAGGACUUCUCAGCACAUGUGGGUGGUGUUGGAGGUGUUGGCAACAGCCUUGGAAUAUAGCCGCAGCAAAGAAGCCCUUAACUGAGAGCCAUCGACAAAGUGCCAGAACCGUGAGCUCUUCCCACCUCGGAACAGACCAUGUACUGUUGCUGACUUAACUGUGCUUGAAGGUCAGCCAAUUGUCAGGCCAGUGUGGAAGCAGGGCCCAUUUUUCUGCAUGUCUGUGGUGAGGUUAGGGGAAAAAGAUCACACUGUAACAAGUAAAUCCCAUUCCAAGCACGGGUGUGUGUACGUGUUUGCCUUCUGACCACAGAGCCUUGCGGUGGGACUUCACACUCACGAGAUGUGUGAAUCUUGAGACCUCUUUGCUGACAAAUAUUCAUCAAGAGCUCACCUUGUGCCUGCAUUUCCAUCAGGGUGUAUACAGAAAGCAGAUGCUACUAGAGGAUUUGUGGAGAAGGGUUUGUAUUUGGUGAGGCUGUUGAGAAAGGUGUGGGGUCGGAGCCACACAGGAUGGAGCAAUAACUUGUGGCUCCGAGGCAGCCAUUAUGUUAUCAGUUCCAGCCCUGACACAAUCACAGAGGUCUGCUCUCAUUGCAUACUUGUGAGAGGCCCAGGGAGCAGUGACCUUCAGCUAAGGGACUUCUCUGCCUGGGUGUGUUCUUGUUGGGGAGAAAUCAGAAGAAACAUCACCUUCUUUAGCUGACUUUUUUUUUUCUUCUUUCAGUUCUCAAGGUCCCCCACGGAUCAAACUCAACAGAAGCCUGGGAACAGUGGGACAUGCAAUGCAAUUCUUUUAUGGGUCCACUACAUGGGGCAGGAGGCAAGAUAGGAAAGGAGCUGGAGUAGGUGGGUGGGUGUACCUGGGGCAGUGAAUUCAAGAUGUGAAGAUCAAUGCUACACUGCACACUGGGCAGCGACUCAGAUUUUGUGGGGGCUAAAGCACAUACAAUUUUCUUUUAGGAUCCACUUUAAGAAAACAACACAGGCCCGGUGUGGUGGCAUACACUUUUAACUCAGCACUUGGGAGACAGAGGCAGGUGGACCUCUGUGAGUUCCAGGACAGUCUAGACUACUUAGUAAGUUCCAGGACAGCUAGCAUUACAUAGUUCCUGUCUGUGUGGUGGUAUUUUACUUAUACUGAAAUGUGAUUUUAAUUGUAUGUUAAUAAAUAAAGUUGCCUGGGGGUCAGAGCUAUUAGAGCCAUAGCAAGAGUGUGGCGGUGGUGGCGCACGCCUUUAAUCCCAGCACUUGGUAGACAGAGCUAGGUAGAUCUCUGUGUGUAAAAAGAUACAGCCAGUAUUGGAGACACACGCCUUUAAUCUCAAUCCCAACCAUAGAAGACCUGGAAGUCUUUACAGACAGGCAGUGAUGAGGCAUGGGUUUACAACCAAUGAGAAGGCAGAAUCGAAAGUCUUUAUAAAGACAAACACACAGGAAGUAGCUCCUUUUCAGAGAGCUCUCUUGGCUGAAGAGGAUGGCUGAAGCAGGAAGGGUGAGGCUCUUAGCUCUGACCUCUUGGCUUUCUUCUCUGAA